rnacentral:rRNA from 1 species
CGCGUAGGCGGCCUAACAAGUCACUUGUGAAAUCCCCGGGCUUAACUCGGAAUGGCCAAGUGAAACUGUCAGGCUAGAGUGCAGAAGGGGCAAUCGGAAUUCUUGGUGUAGCGGUGAAAUGCGUAGAUAUCAAGAGGAACACCUGAGGUGAAGACGGGUUGCUGGGCUGACACUGACGCUGAGGCGCGAAAGCCAGGGAGCAAACG